rnacentral:rRNA from 1 species
GAUGAACGCUGGCGGCGUGCCUAAUACAUGCAAGUCGAGCGAACAGACGAGGAGCUUGCUCCUCUGACGUUAGCGGCGGACGGGUGAGUAACACGUGGAUAACCUACCUAUAAGACUGGGAUAACUUCGGGAAACCGGAGCUAAUACCGGAUAAUCUAUUGAACCGCAUGGUUCAAUAGUGAAAGACGGUUUUGCUGUCACUUAUAGAUGGAUCCGCGCCGCAUUAGCUAGUUGGUAAGGUAACGGCUUACCAAGGCAACGAUGCGUAGCCGACCUGAGAGAGGGGUCGGCCACACUAGAACUGGGACACGGUCCAGACGCCUGCGGGAGGCAGCAGUAGGGAAUCUUCCGCAAUGGGCGAGAGCCUGACGGAGCGGCGCCGCGUGAGUGAUGAAGGUCUUCGGAUCGUAAAACUCUGUUAUGAGGGAAGAACAAAUGUGUAAGUAACUAUGCACGUCUUGACGGUAACGAAUCAGAAAGCCACGGCUAACUACGUG